UAUUUUAUUAUUGAUCAUGCACAGCAAUGUAAACAAUGAGAUGUAAACAACAGUGAACUACUUGAACUGUUGACCUAUAUUUUUUUUUCAAAACAACUCACAGAUGUAAAUAUUUAAAAUUUUUUACACACCUGAAUACUACAAUGAAUGUUUAUAAACAUGGAAAUUUGUUUACUAUGGUACUUCAAUACUACACUCAAGACUAUUUAUAGUAGUCUUAUGCAAGGUCAACCUUGAACUGGAUUGACAUGUCUCUGAAUUUUUUUUCCUUUUGAUGAUGGCAAAACUUAGUAUGAUAUAUUGACACAACACAUCAGUAUUGUAAAUAAAUAUGAAAUUUUUUUCUGUAUUCAUUUUAAGUAAAUUUACUCAGUGUGUCAAAUGAUACACAUUGAUAAUGUUGUACAUCUAUAAUUAUAGUAAAACAUUGGAUGUGGAAUAACUUGUAUAUUUUUUCCUUUUUUAUAUUGAUUAGCAUGUGAUUGUUUGUACAAAAAAAUUUUUUCUUUCAGUACAAAUGUAUGCAUAAAGCUUGUAAACACUUGAUGGAGGUACUUUUCAUUACAAUUAGUGUGACAUUUCAGUGAUUUUGCUCUCAGUGAAUUAAGUAUAUAAAUGAUUAUACAUUUUGGACUCAGUAAUUUAUAUGAUGUUAUACAUAAUUACUAAGAUUAUAUAAGAUGAUAUGAGCAAUUGAAGUGAACUUACAGCACUUCAUGGAAUAAGGUACUAAGCUCAUAUAUAUAUUUUUACAGUGAUAUUGAUGUUAAAUAUACUUGUCAAAGAUUUUUGGACAAAAAUCUUUUUGGAGUGUGGGGCGUAUGUCACAGUCCAGUUUUAGAACCUCUGUGACAUGAAGUGACACUCAGUCACCUAUUGUAAUAUUCCGUGCGGGCAAGCACGAGGUUAUGUGAAUAAGUUAAAGGACUCUGAAAUAAGGGUCAAUGUUAGACAGUUAGUAAAGAACUCCAGCAGAGAGUGGAUGUACGAUUUUCUCUGUCUGUAAUAUGUACCUUAAUGAAUUUGAUCUUAUGUUAACUUGAGAGAUUUCUUCGGACUUAUAUUGUGAACAUUUUAUUGAUGUGAUUGCUUGUUCUACAUGGCAUGAGCAGCCAGUAUUUAUUGGUCUAUAUUUUGUGACGGCUGAAGUCGCCAAUAUCUUUUGUAAUUUAUCUAUAUAUAUAAUAAAUUUCACGUCUGCUACCAGUGUGUUUAUCAGUAAUUCUAAAUGUUGUCGUUGGAGACUUUAGUAUACUAGUAUUGUUGCGCACUUGCAAAUCCAGUGCGUCUAAUAAAGUACAUCGUUAAGAGGAGUAUUAUAGCCGUACCAGAAGAGGUACCUACAACACACGGACACAUCCACGUCGCCACGCCUACAGCCAAAACCAGGUAGCGACAGUCAGGCUUUAUGCCUUGUGCACUAAUGCAGUGUCCCAUGAAACUUAUCUGGUCUUGUUUCUAUACUGUUUUCGUUUCAUUUGAUUUAAUGUGUUUCUCUCUUAAUCUCUUCAGUUUGUCAGAGUGAUCUUUUUCUGCUUCUUCUUUGAACUGACCACAUCCCACAAUCACGAUAUCAUCAGCCACAUUAAUGCAUCCUUCUAAUCCUAACAAUGCUGUUAACUUCUUCUGGAAUAUUUCUCCACUUACACUUAGUCCAAAAGGAAGUCUUGACCAUCUGUACCGCCCAUAUGGUGUGAUCAUGGUUGUUAGUAGACUAGACUUUUCAUCUAGACGUACAUGCCAGUAAGCCUCCUUUACGUCCAAUUUAGAAAAUAUUUUAGCAUUUAGGAACUGUGGCAUUACAGCUUCCAAAGUUGGUAACUUAAAAUGUUCUCUUUUUAAAGCAGUGUUUAGAUGUCUUGGGUCAAUGCAGAUCCUUAAAUCCCCAUUUGGCUUUUGAACCACAGCCAUCUGGCUGACCCAAUCUGUUGGCUCAUUUACAGGAAUUAAUAUUUUCCUUUUUACUAAUGUCUCUAUUUCUGCUUCCACUUUCUUUUGAAAUGCAAAUGGUAUAUUACGACAAGGUGAUACCACCGGAGCUAUGUUCUCAUUGAUAGUUAAUGAUGUUUCACCUAAAUCUCCCAGAUGACGAUCCAUUGUAAUAGUCGUGUAAUUUCUUUAGUAAAAUUUGCGGGUCAUUUACGUCUUCAUUCUCAUCAUGCUGCAACUGCUCACAAAUCUCUUGGGCCUGAGGUCCAGCACAAUGUAAUAUUAUUGCUUUUUGUCUGAUUUUAGGUUUUUCUUCAGCUUCUAUUGCUAACAGUAACAGUUCCACUUGUCUUCUCCAUUGGCGAAAGUUUUCACUGACAUUACCUUCAGUCACUUUUAACUCUGUUGGUGGUUUAAGUAGACCUUCUGCCAUCUUCCACAAAAACUUCACUAUAGUAUAUCUACCGUAACUGAAUAACCCCGAGCCUCUCUAUAUAUAUUUAAUAAUAUUCUAGACUGAGACUCUGGAAUCUACUAGAUUCUAGAUCUACACUUUAGAUCUAUUUUUUUUUUUUUUAAAUUUAACUAGAUUUAUAUCACUGAUAUAAAUCUAAAUAUAGUUCUUGUUACCGCUGCCACCAUGUUGAUUAUUAUGAACAAAUAAUAACAAGACUCUGGAUAUAACUUAUAAGACUUGAAAUCAGCUGUUUAAUCUAAUGCCAUAUUGGUUGACAACAACAGUUACAAAGGAUGUUACUCCCAAACACCGAUUGGUGCAACCUAUAUAAAACACACAUCAACAGUAACUAUAAUAUAUUUGUAAAGUUAACAAUAGCUCUAAUAUAAGUGUUUGUAUAAAAUUAUGCAAUGACAUUUUAACAUGAGUUGUAAAUUGUUUUUUUUUAAGGCCCCUUUAUAUGUUGACCUAACAAAGUCAAAAUUGCCAAGGAGAGUUGAGUAAAUAGAAGCGCAAAAGUUUCAUUUAUUAACUUUUAAAGCAAUAACACAGUUGAAUGUUCAAGUAUCCACCUGACUGAUGAAUGUUCAAGUAUCCACCAGACUGAUGAAUGUUCAAGUAUCCACCAGACAGAUGAAUGUUCAAGUAUCCACCAGAUAGAUGAAUGUUCAAGUAUCCACCAGACAGUUGAAUGUUCACGUAUCCACUAGACAGAUGAAUGUUCAAGUAUCCACCAGACAGUUGAAUGUGCAAGUAUCCACUAGACAGAUGAAUGUUCAAGUAUCCACCAUUUCAUUAAUUAUCAUAUUUCUCUUUUAGGAAAAUGUUUCUGUUUUCACUUUAUUUUAUUUUGUACCAGUCUAGUAUUUUGUACCAUUAAAAAUUUAUAUUUCAUGUUAGUAAAAAAGAUGUUUGAAAUUUUGUUUCAAAAUUUAUAAAAAAAAUCUAUAUAUAUAUAUUAAAAUAGUAAUUUACUCAACCUUGGAAUCCUAUCACUGAACUGGGAAAGCUAGCUUUGAUUGUUUUUGUUGUUGUAAAUAUAUAUGGCUCCUUUUGUCUCGAAAGGCAAUGGAUGCGCCCAAGUGAGUCACUGGUUUUGGCUUAAUCUUGAGACGGGGCAGAAUCUGGUGUGGCUAAUCAAGCCAAUUCUAGAACGGCAGACUUUGCCACAAUUCGUACAUUUGUAUGCCUCUGAUUUAGGGCUAGCAGACAGGGCAGCUUUCUUUUUUUCCCUCUUGAUUAAAGCCGCUUCAAUUCUUUUGUUCUCAGCAAGGGUUGUCCCAGCACGCACAGUCUGUCUCCAUGCACUCCGGUCUUUGGCUAUGUUUUCCCACAUACUUUCACUGAUGCCUGAGGCUCUCAUGUCUCGCUUGCAGACAUCUCUAUAUGUUAGUCUUGGGCGGCCCUUGGGUCUGACUCCUUCCACAAGUAAAUAUCCAUAUGGAUAGUGUGUAUAUUAUGCAAAGGUUGAUUAUUUAUUAGCUGUUAAGGUUGGAGUUUUCCUUUUUUUUUAUUUUUACAUGAUUUCAAUGUUAAAUACCACUGUAGUUGUCUUUCUGAUAAUGAUGCUAUGAUGUGGUCUUGGUAUAUUUUUUCUGUGAUUAGAUGUUGUAACAUAUAGAUAUUGACAAUGUAAAAAGUUUAUAUACAACCAAGUUCAUACAUUAAUCUAUUUCACAAUCAUACAAACUAUAAACUGCGUAAAGCUUUUUGUUAUUAUUAAAAAUAUAAACUGUAAAGUAUUGGAUACUAAAAUGCAUUUUAAUUGAUUCUUCCCGAGCUAUAGUUUAUUGCAUCUUCAUUUUGUGUGUGCACAAUCUAUUGAAUUAAUAAUGUAAUUUUUUGUGAGAUGAUUUGUGUUGGUCACAUGUAUAUGUCAUUAGUUUCUAUCAUGAUUUUUUUAAAAGUAUUUGUGUAAAACCAGAGAGGUUUCAUUAAAUUUGUACUUUAUUAAUUUUUUAUUUUACAUUUUUGUUUAGUUUUAAUUUUACUUACAAGCUGAAUUUGUAUACAUAGCUAUGAUUUGAUGGAAUUCUUCUUUUUAUAAAAUUUUACAUGGUCUAAGGUUUUUGAGUUCAUUGAAGCUUUUUUCAAAACUCUGAAGAGUUGAACUGAAGGCUUGUAAAACUAUAGGCCAGCAAAAAAUAAAAGCUUCCUCUCACCAGCCUGACUGAAAUGAUUGUUCUGUCUGGAAGAGAUCCUAAUUGAUGUCUGUAUCACACUACUAUUUCCAAUGCUUCAGAAGCUCCAGACACGGGGGCUAGAGAUUGGCAGACUGCUAAGCACACCAAGAACUCCUGCCAUCUUCCUGCUCUUUACCACACUCAACAAUCCCCAUUCCAUUUGUGAAACAGAAUGUUGGGAUUGUUGACAUGGUCAUAAAGACUCUCUUCCCAACCAAGACUUGAGCAAUGCUUUUCCAUUCCUAAUGAAGUCUUGUUUUCUUACUUCCUUGAAGCCUAAUUGUUUUGACCCAGGGGUGGGGGGGCACUAUGUUGUAGACUGGGAUGUUUGCUUUCUGACAGCAUUGUAGAAUAAUUAUAUUGUAAUAAAAUAUUUUUCAAAUAAAAAAAUUAAAUGAAACAAAACCUACAUCUUGGCUAUUAAAAUCCAGGUUAAUACUGCUAUUUGUUAUAUAAUGUAUGUGUCACUGUCAUGAGAUGUAUACAUUGGAUGCUUACAUAAACAUUGGUUUUGUGAAACAUCAGUCAAUUGUAUUUAUGACCCUACUCUAAAUGGCCUAGAAUGUUGAACAUAAGAGUACCAGUUCAAUGUUAGAGAAAAUAAUAGUAAGUAGGGGAGACAAUAAAAGAGUUUUAAUAUGUUC